AUGCAGAUGAUUGAUUUAUAGAUGUCUAUCCAGAUAGAUAGAUAGAUAGAUAAGAUAGAUAAGAUAGACAGAUAGACAUAAAUUCUUAAAAACUUGAAAAGUUGGGAGG